CAAGAUACUUUAAAAGAAGAUUUCAAAGUAAAUGUCUUCGUUCAACUUUUCUUUUUUCUUUUCUUUUUUUUUUCUUGUUUGAGUCACAGUGUGUUUGUAUAUGUUGUGUGACUGUAUGUGUUCCAUCUCACGUACAGAAUACAGGUGUACAUAAAACUAACAAGGCUGAAAUUGAGUGUGCCCUUCAAUUAAGGAGAAUUGGAGACAAGCUGAGUUUCCUGCAGAAACUUCUGAAUCUGAUGUACAAACUCUUCGGCUCAGGAACCUGACUGCUUCAGAAGCCUUCUAAUGAGGCGACUCCUAUAAAGCUGGAUUUACCAUACUUCAUCCAUUAGUGGUGAGAGACUGCGUUAUAAUGGAGAAGAAUGUGAAGAAGCUCUCACUUGCUUUGGGAUGUGCUUGGAAAUGAAGAUGGAAUACAUCACAAUGAAAUUCUGUUGGAGUUUUCCCAGAAGUCAUUUGUUUAUUUUAAAGCAAGAAUUGAAGAGCUUUGAAAAUAUGGAAUGAAUUAUUAAACUUCUUUGUUUCUGCUUAGAGAAUUUUUCUAGUAUUUUUGUUGAAGGUUGAUGCCCAGCCUAGUGUAAGAAGAGUUGAUAAAUAACUAGAAUGUUUUGGCAGGGACCAAAAAACAGAAUAUGUUCAGUGUUUAUUUCUACUUAGGGAUGACAAUUCCAGAACAAUGUAUAAUAUUUGUUUUAUAUAUGUUAUCUUGUUAAAAGUAAAUAUUUCAUUCUGAGAACACUGAAUGUUAUAGUUUCAUAGGUCACUACAAAAUAUAAAGUAAUUUGAUAAUUUUUUUUUUUACUUAAAAUGUAUUACUUCUGUUCAGAUGACUUUUCAUUAAAUGUGUUCCUGUGGGCCUUAACUGGGCAGUAUGGAAUUUAAAAAAAUUUGAUCAAAUUUGGUGCCAGUAAAAUUCCUAGGUUGAAUGUUAAAAGAUGAAGAGCAUAGGGAUUUUGGAUAACCAGGG